ACCUGAUUGAAUGUGACAGCACCAAGAGAAAGUCAGACUAAUAUAGCAAUGAGAGGAGAGAAAUCCCCUCCCUGACUCCACCUUCUCUAGAUUGUAAACUAAAUGAUUUACUUGGUUUGAAGUGUUUUACUUGAUUUGAAUCAUUCUGCCCUGUAGUGAGUCCUUAUUGGAAACAACUGGGAGGUGGGCGGGCCUGCCCUGCGCCUCCUAUCCGGAGGAGCUCCCGGACUUGCCAAAGGAUCCCUGGCCGGAUGAAGUCAUGGUCCAGGAUCCCCCCGAGGCCGACACCAGCCCCCAGUUCAAAGUCAAAUCAAUUCAAGCAUUCUCUCCUCCGCACAACAAGGAAGUAUUUGAAGCUCCAUUCAUCCUUGUUAUGAGAUUUCUUGCAAAUAAAAAACCUUGACAAAACAAAAACACAGGCUCCCAAGAGCCUCCAUCAUGCCAGAAACUAGGAAGUGGAAAUCUACAGAACAGCCAGGAUCUAAAAGUUUGACAACAUGCGGCAUAAUGCCAUUUGGUCACUUUUUCAGCUAUUGCAGGAGCUGAUGUUGGGAACAUACACAAGUGAAGAGUGUUUCUCUCAUGAAACUGGUUAAAAACAUGUUUGCCGAAAAGAUAAGAAUCCCUGCACAGCAGUCCGAAGAUAAAAAACAAACCGACAUGCCCAUCCUCCCCGCUCCAGUCCUCCACGUGGUAUUGAUUUAAGCCAGCACUGCAGAACUCUUCAGUUCAAAAGCUAUCUGCAAACAUUCACAGGCAACAAAACGAGGAAAAGCUGAUCAGGAAAGGCUUUAAAACAUGUAAACAGUUUCAAUGAAACUGUGUGUAUGUGUGAUCUUGAGAAGGAAUUUGCCUCUCCAGUUUGUACCCCAUGACGAUGAACUACAGAAGCACAUACAGGGCCUGCUGCCCUGAAGUCUGUUUCCAUUAUAAAAUCUCUCUUGCAAGGGGGAUAGAGCAUUCAGCGGCACAAUUCCAAGCUGAAAUUCUGCAGCAUUUUUCCAGCUGAUUUUUCUCUCCAAAUGUUCACCCAACUGGCGUGAAAGUUCUGUAACCAUAUGGGAACCAAUCCUGUCUGUGUUCUGGGCACAUCCAUGACCCACCGUGGGAGCGAGUUACCAGUGACCCAGGGCUGGGACAGCAGAAGGGUCCA